rnacentral:rRNA from 1 species
AAGAAGCCCCGGCUAACUUCGUGCCAGCAGCCGCGGUAAUACGAAGGGGGCUAGCGUUGCUCGGAAUUACUGGGCGUAAAGGGCGCGUAGGCGGACAUUUAAGUCAGGGGUGAAAUCCCAGAGCUCAACUCUGGAACUGCCUUUGAUACUGGGUGUCUUGAGUGUGAGAGAGGUAUGUGGAACUCCGAGUGUAGAGGUGAAAUUCGU